rnacentral:lncRNA from 1 species
CCAUUUGCUGUUUCUAGUGGGUUACGAAUUGCCUGGCCUGGCCUUUAAAAAACCCCAAAACGUACUAUCAAACAUGAGAUUGUUAUUACCAUGGCACCACGCCUAACCAAUAUUUACUAUAAUAUUUUCAACCAUAUCUUUUCAGAUCAGCGAAUAAGCAUCUUAACAUCUAAUGAAUUAAAAUUAAAAUGAUGACCUUAUUCUAUGCAAAUUCCA